AGAUAGAGGUUGCGCCUUAUCAAUAGUAGCUUUUCCGAGGUCAUGCAGGAUUGAAACAGGAAAAUGCGAAAGGGGUGGGCGCCGAGGCUGAUCUCCACUGCACUGGAGUGAUGUCGGGCGUAAGGAUAAUAUCCUUGCGACUGUCGCAAAGAAGACAAAAAUUUGCGGAGAGCUAUCC
rnacentral:ncRNA from 1 species